GAGUGGCUUUAAUUUAACAGGAGAAUGGACUGCUGGAUAAGGUAACCUGCGCUUUACAGAUAAAUAAUUUGGAAGAUCGAUAAUUCAAAAUCACUGUAGUAGGUAGGGAUGGCUGGAACUUGAAGGCCGAAGUGACAGAGUUAAAAUGAUCGAUUUUCCUGGACCAGGACUUACCUUCUUGAUGGCCAUGUGGUAUAAUUACAGUGUGGUCAUUUGAUGAAAACUAAUGGAUAAAGAAUGAACUUCAGGUAUGAGGUGAAGUAUUGUUCGACCUCUGGAUUGUUCUGCAGCUCAAACCACUCUGCUGCCGUAUGGAUUCCCGUUUGGACCAAGCCAUACAUUCAGGAAUCAAACCACUUUGUACUUCAGCAAUAGCAUCCAUUAUUUUCUAGGUCAAGGGGAUAUUUUCUACCUAAAGCAAUACAAGUGGCGGUGAGGUUUUAAAGUUUAUGUAUCUUGAAACAAACUACUGUCAAAACUGCUCUCACUUAAUGAAAUCGGCUUGUUAGUAUAUACAAACCUCAAUCUGACGUUUUGACAACUAUUGCAAAAACUUGAGUCGUCUAUUCUUCAGCUACAUUCAUUUGCCGUAAUAUAAGCGUAAUGAAAUUGACAAGCAUUCACAAAUAGUAUAACUUGUGCGUUGUAAAGACACAGGCCCAAAGGUGCGUUUCACGUUUUGAGUUUUGAUAUUUCAAGUUGUAGCCAACUUAACUUCAUGGCACAGGUACCUACGGGUUGUUUCCUAGGACACGUUUUGCACAUGAAAGUGUAACUUUAAUCAUCAAUCUUUUGCAUUUUUGGUUUAAAGCAUAUGAAGAGUAGAAUUUAAUUAUCGUGGUUUGACAGUUGCGAUAAUCAUGUUGUAAACAUUUAAUAUUCUUUAUUAGCCUUUAAAUCAGUCAUCAUACUCUGAGAAUGUUUAAAAUUAAGCUGGCUAGUUAUUGGCUGGUUACAGAAUACGAGAUGAAUGCAAAAGGUAAUUCAUAAUUUCUCUCUCUCUCUCUCUCUCUCUCUUCUCUCUCUCUCUCUCUCUCUCUCUCUCUCUAGCAUUUUAAGCUACCAAUGUCUUACACAACCCUGUUAAUCUUUCUUCAAAAAUUAGUCCAUGACUUUUAUUCUUGUAACAUCUUGCGCCAUAAGUUGAGAGGUUUCUUGAGAAGUGUGUUAAGAUCUUGAGAACUCAUUUUUCAUGUUUCAAAAAUUUUUUAUUAGUAGUUAAAAUAGGCAACAUUUAUGUAUCUGGUUCUUCCUUUCAGACAUAACGAACUAUUUCGUCAGAAUUUUUACUUUUUAAUUGGAAUCUAUACUGCUUUUAAGUAAACAUUAUUUUUUUUUACUUAGAAUUGUACCAACUCAAGAUUGAGUUUUGGGGUAGCAGACAUGAAGAGUCAAAUAGGAGCUUAUAUUUACUGUCACCCAACUUCUUGUGUCCUGUAAAAAUUAUAAAUCUUAGCAUAACACCAUUUCAGCACUUUCUAUUAAGACCUUUAGCGUUUUACCCGUUUGUGUUCAGUCUAAUUUUGUAUCAGUUUUUAUAAACCUACCAUAGCUUCAUAAAAUCAUGCUUAAUAGAACCGAAAUUCUUUCGUUAUCCAGUUCCAGUAAGCUAAUGGCUGUAGCUCUAUAAUUACGAACAACUUUCUAGGGAGUGAAUUAAUAAUAGAAUUUCUAAGCCUUCAUGUACUUUUAAUCGCUUUUUUAGGAAAGACUUCUAAGAGCCAUUGACCUCUCCCCCCGCAAAAAAAAUCGUAUUAAAUGUAGUAUGAUACUUACCUGCCACAUUUUGGAAAACAUUCCUAUAAGGUUCCCUAAUUUCAGAAAUUUGAGAAAUUACGUUGAGUGCCCUACAUAUGAGAAGGCCUCUCAUCAUCGAAAGAGUCUUUUAACCUAAAUUGACUUUAUCUUUGAUACUGUCCCUGUGUUCGACUAUUAGUAUUUUCAAACUAUCUAAAUGUUGUAGAAAUGAUGCGCUUACUCAAAGUUGCACAUAAAGUUACAAGCAUUUCCUAUACUUAUUUUUCAGCUUUGAAAUGGAUGUCAGUUGCCAAACGUCAGUAUGAGGAUCACAUUUUUCAUUGGUAAAUUCUAGAUCAAGGUCACUCAAGGCCACCUUCACGUAAAUAGUGACCUGUGAUAUCCUACAGCCUUUGGAACUACUUCGUCUUAUUUUUCUCUGUUGAGCCUUUGCUAGCACAGCUGCUUAGAACAUG